GUGCCAGCCGCCGCGGUAAAACGUAGGAGCCAAGCGUUAUCCGAAUUCACUGGGCGUAAAGCGUGUGCAGGCGGACCAAUAAGUUGGAUGUGAAAUCUCCUGGCUCAACUGGGAGAGGCCGUACAAUACUGUUGGACUAGAGGGCAGCAGAGGGAGGUGGAAUUCCCGGUGUAGUGGUGAAAUGCGUAGAUAUCGGGAGGAACACCAGUGGCGAAAGCGGCCUCCUGGGAUGUACCUGACGCUCAGACACGAAAGCUAGGGGAGCGAACGGGAUUAGAAACCCGUGUAGUCC
rnacentral:rRNA from 1 species